rnacentral:misc_RNA from 1 species
UUAAAAAAAAAAAAAAAAUUACAAGUUCUUUCCAAGGAUUUGCUUGUACCUGUAUGGCAGGUUUUCAGAAUUAAACCAGACUAUAAGGUUCUCUAACAUAAGGCUAUGUCUAUGUUCUGCUAUAUCAUACCAGUGACAGCAAAAAGAAGUUCACCUGGCUCCACAACCUCCGAUCAGACACGACAGUGGACCAAAAAAAAACUUAGCACGUCUCAUCAUGCCAUGUUCUCGAUGGUCCAAAAGUAUUUACACGAAAAACAUGCAAAGAUUGACACGUUACUCUGCCUCGUUGUAGUCAUUUAAUGUUCAUGCUUGCUGACAUUGUUCGUAGCUCCUUAGCAAUCUCUGAGAAGGCUGGCCUAGACUCAGGAUCAGAUGACCAGCAUCUCUUCAUUAGUGAUCUCCAAGCUGGAUCACACCAGCUUGGAAUUUCAGGUACCAGGGCGCCCUUGAUUUUACCAGCUGAAAAUAUCACAUAAAAAUUUUAAAAAGAUAAAGAUCAGAUCACAAAAUCAAAAUCAAGCAAACUUGCAUAGCUCAGCAUUUCCGAUUCUGAACUGUUUAUUUGAUAGGUAAUAAAAUAAUCUCAAUGGUAUGCACAUCAUUCUUUCUGAUCCUCAGCCAAAUCGAAAACUAAAAACCAUGAGAUGUGAAGUUAAAUGACAGGAUAAAAUGCUAGCUUUUUGCCAGAUUUAGAUGGCAAAACUGAAAUACGGGAUCAGAUAAAUGGUGAUGACAAUGAAAAUGCCAUCAAAGCAUACAUGUAUUGCUGAAAAUUUUCUAAGAACACAUUUACUUUUUAGCACGACUCUUAAAGUCAAUUAACCUAUUAUUUCUUCUGAAUUCAAGUUUGCAUAAGGUUCCUCGCCAGUUAGGAGCUCCCACAUGACAAUUCCAAAUGAGUAAACAUCAACCUGCAUAGAAUUACCAAUGCAUUCAGCAAAUUGAUAAUGAAAUUGGCAAAAAACACAAAUUUUACAUCUGUUGCUGCACAUGCUCACAAGUACAAAAGCCACCAUCCUACCUUCUCUGUUACCAUAUUGUUCUUACUGUGCAAAAGUUCUGGUGCCAUCCAAGGUAUGGUUCCUCGUACUCCACCAGAGACAAGGGUCCGCUGUUUAAUUUUUGAUAAGCCUAGAUCACCAAUCUUGCACACCGGUCGCUGAGGAUCCUUCAUAUUCACGAGGAAAUUAUGAGACUUCAGGUCAAAGUGGACAAUGUUCUUUUCAUGUAGAUAUUCCAUCCCAAACGCAGCAUCCAUUGCUAAUAUUAUCCUCUUCCGACGAUCAAUUGUUCUGUAAGUAGGAAAGAGCGCAGUUAGGGAAGGGGAAGCAAAUAGAUGAAACAGUGCCCAUCAAAAUUAGAUUCUACAUGUAAUACUGUGAGAUGAAACACUAGAUCAGAAUAUUCAAUCUAAAUUGAAAAGUAUACGUGAAAAUCUAUAAAAAAGUACUUAGAGAUAUAUGAUGUAAAGCUAGAUGAAUAAACAGAAGUAGCAACCAAUUGUCAGUUUUAACUUUUUAACAGCAAAUGUCUCAUGCAUCACCAAAUAAAAGAUUCAAGGAGUGAAAUAAAUUAUUUGAAUGCCCUAGAUUUCCAAUCAUAGGACUCCAAUGAAAAUUCAUUCUCCCACAUUAGGGGCCAGGUUACUCCCAGUCUCAAAUUAGCACUUCUUGAACAAUUUGUCAUGACUAUUUAUAAUUGCAAUGAAAAUGUGUUAGAAAGUAAACUCAUCAUACUUAUCUUUAGGGGGGAAGCUCAAAGUAUCAUGUCUAUAAAUGUGCAACCUUCACAGCAAUGCGUCUAGAAUAAUGGAUUGAAUCCAGUUGUUUCAAUGGAGAGAGCUUGGAAACCAAAAUUCAGUAGUCUGAACUGACAUUGUAAAAUUUUUUCCUCUUCCUUUUCAGUUUCAUAUGCUUAGUCUGACUGCAAAUGUAAGAAUGCUUCCAAUACUUUGAUGAAAAUCUAUCCAGAAGUCUCAAAUUUCUUUACCAUAUGUCAUUCAAUAAAUAAAAGACAACAUAGUAAUAGUAUUAUAUGCUUGUACAAAAUGGAGGAGGAUCAUGUUAGAGAAUGCAUUAUGCAUUGUCAUAAUUAAUUAAUGGCAAAGAUAUGUUUCCAUAAUCCAAAGAGUUCAAUCUUAAAAUAAUUUGUAUUCUACUCUUAUUAUCAAGCAACCAGCGUGACCACUAUAUUAAAACCAGUUUAGGAUCUUAAAGACUGCCAAAUGUGGCUGUAUACAGAUUACAUGGCAAAUGCAAUAUGGAAGUACAAUCCAGGAUGAGGUAAAAGAUAUCAUUCAAGAUCUAUGUAAUGUCAAUUUGCGAAAGUGCCACAAAAAUGAGGUAGAAAACAUGUGCUUCAUAUGUCAAUUGUUAAGAUGGCCAUUUUAUUAGAAAAUAGUUAAAUACUGUACCUAUCCUUUCUCCGCAGAACUUGUUUCAGAGAGCCAUUCACCAUGUACUCUGUCACUGUUGCCAAGUUAUUCAGAGGUCCAUCAGUUACAACACCAUAAAAUGCCACUAUGUUUGGAUGGUGUAGUUGACCAAUAAUGUGAGCUUCCUUCCAAAAGUCUGCAACCAGUCGAUCGUCCCCCAAUGAGUCUUCAGUGAAGCAACUUGGUUUUAUCCUCUUGAUAGCAACACCAGAUCCUUUCCAUUUUCCAUAGUAGACGGUACCAUAUGUGCCUGAACCAAGUUCUUUAAUAUACUCCAGGUCUGAACUUUUAAUAGUCUGCAACUCUUGAGUAGCUAGUUGAGUAUAAAAUGCAGCCAAGUCACUAGAAAUUCCACCAAUCAUCUUGGAGCAUUUAAUGCUUUCUUUAAUCUCAGCCUUUUCAUCAACACUUAAACCGGAUGGCAGGUCCCGUUGAAUCUCUUCUUCAUGCACCUGAUCCUUUUCCAUGUUAACAGCAUUAGAAGUAGAGGAGUUAGACGCCACUGCAUUUGAUUUGUCACCUUCAGGUCCUGAGCUAAGCUGUCCAUCCAUGCUAUCUAAAGGCUUUGGUUUGGGCUUCAAGGAAGAAUCACCAACAGCACUACUGGCAAGAGAAGAACAGGCAGGAGGGUCCACCCCUUCAGAUGAUGACAACGACAAGUUAUACAAAAGAUCCAUUGAAGAUGCAACUCCCCUUACCAAAUAAGGAGUUCCAUUCUUUGAAUUGUUCGACAAGUUAAUUGCUCUUUCUGUAUCCAUCAACUUGUUAUUGUAUUCCACUUCUGCUUCAUUGGUAGAGCACAGAUAGUUUGAUGAGCAAGAGAUGAUAGCAGCCUUCUGCUGGUCAAUCGUGAAUUGCUCAUUAUUAAUGGCUACUGAAUGGUAAUUCUCAUGCACGCUUUGACAUGGAAAUUCAUUAGUUUCACAAAGGGAACCAGUCAAGAGAUCUUGUUGACUUCCAGUUUUCUCCAGACAUGAAGGUGGCCUCUCAACAGCAUUACAAGACAAGAGAGAUUGAUAGCCAACAGAAUCACCUGCUCCAUGAUAAGCUAAAUGAAAAUCUUUGGAAUUUGAAUCUCCACACAGUGAAGCAGCAGACCCACUCUGUUCUCUUGAUAAGCUAAAGCAGGAGCAAUCGUUAUUUAAACUUGAAUUGAUUAUGCUCGUUCUUCCUCCCUGCUUUGAGCCAUAUAAUCUCGCAGACAAUCCCUGUUUUGAGAUGGUUGAAUUUGGCCUUAGCCCAGGGUAGCAUUUCACUGCCGAAAGCCUGCCGUCCAAUCUAGUACCCAUCUCAGCCAGGUUAUUCCUACGGCUCCGAACCUGGUAUGGAUAAACCCGCUGAUUUCUGGCAUCAGUAGCAACAAACCUAUGGUCCCUGACUCCAUUCUGAUAACCACGACCAAAGAAGGGAUAUUUAACAGGAUAGGUACUUCCACCCAACUGACUGUUGCAAGUCCGUGAAGCACAAUCCAUCGCCCAUGGCAUAAUAUUUUCCCUAUUCAAACGACUCAAUGACCCCUGCCCAAAGAUCCCUGAAUCCUGCUUCGCAUCAUUAAGAUCACAUAUAGUUUUCACCCUCGAAUUAUACAAAUGAUUCGAAUUCCCAGCACAAAUCCCUGUCCCAUGACUGAAAACCUGAAAAUUUUGUCCUGAAAAACAAUGCGUGGAACCAUUCGUUUCCACAUGCAAAUUUCCAUCCUUUGGGUUCAACGGAUGCGAGCCAGAACCCGGAUAUUGAGCCAGUCCACCAAAACUCUCAUUUCCAUGCAAAUGGGCAUUCCCUAUUUGCAUGGAGGCGUUUGUUUCAGGAGCUAAAUCCCUAAGGGGGUGAUUAUAUUUUUGCUUAGUAUCCUCUUCACAAGACACAAAUUCCAUUUUACUCCCAUUAUUAACGCACCGAAUGCUACGAAUUCCCUCCGAUUCUUUGGCUAGUAACUGCUGCCUCAAAACCAUUUUCCUCAAUGAAUCAUCACCGCACCUGAACCUAGCAACAUCUUUCCCAGGAUUCUUGGGCACCUUAUCGUCAAAAAACUGUGAUUUACAAACCUUGGCUCCACUUCUCAAAGCAUCACUCCCUUUAUAAUUCACACACAAAUCACCAUUCCCCUUAACAAACCCAUUGUUACAGUUAUUGUAGCUCUCACAACUAUCACCGUCACGAGCAUCACAUUCAUUCCCGUCAUUACUACUCACAAAGACCCAAAGCCUUGCGUGCUUACCGUACAACUCCAGCUUAUCAAACUCCUCGAUCAUGCACCUAACGUCCUCUUCGGAGGCAAUCCAGACCAAAGGAACAUCCGUUUCAGAAUUUGAUUCCGGGUCGCGGACCCGACCGGACCCAGAUUCUGACCCGGACAUGGAAAGCUGGUAAUUGAGCGAGAAAGAGCGUAGUUUAGGGCAAAGAUCGGACAUCCUAUUCUGGAGCUUGAGAAAGCUUAUGUUCCGAUCGACGGAAACGAUACGAGACUCGCCACCAAUGUAUUUAAGCUUGUUGGAGGGUGGCCUAAAUUGGAAUUCGCCAUUGAAGCUGCAAAUCAGCUUGAUCUUUCUUGAUGGUGCGGAGGAAGCGGUAGUCGGUUUCCUCCAGAGACGUGAGGCUGGUGGUUCUUUCAUAGAAAGAGAAAAGAAUGGAGAGCAAGGAUUGCCGCUGGC